CCUUGAGAGAUUGGCAGCCAUCUGAGUGGGUCUGGGGGUGACUGAGGUGACGCUACCCCGGGCCAGGGGUCGCCCAGCCAUGCUUAUUACCUCUUGUAGUCGCAGUUCUGGGCAGAUCCGAGUUCCUGACCAUCGUCCCGGCCCCGGAGCCCUUUACCGGGGCACCUCCUAUUACUUCAUCUGCAAAGGUAAAGGAGCGCUCCCAGCUCUCUCACCCCGGACCUCUCGAGUCUGUCCCCCUGUAGUCUCCUCCCUUUGCUCCCCACCUGCCUCUCCCUCACUCCUCUGUUCUUCGGACCGGCCGGUCCGUUAUUGGCAGCGUCUGGCGGGGAAGUCGAGGCUCGCCUUCGCUGGCUCGCACCCGAUGGGGAGGAGGUGACUCUUGGAGGGUCCCCCUUCUCGGCCGAGGCUUCCGUGGGGCUGCGGGUGAUCCUAAGCGAGCCAGCUCAGGGUGGGACCCUGGAGACACGCGAGAUUCAGCUCCGAGCCAUCGGUGCGUGCGUGGGUGGGGGAGGGAGGGGAGGAGUAGAGGCUCUGAAUAUGGAACACGAAGGGAUUGUGGGGAAGGCCUCGAGAGAGCAGCAGGAGAAAGCGAAAGGCGCAGGCCCCUCCUCCUCGGGGGCUUGGGAAAUGGGGGAUGCCCUGCGGGGCUCCGUGUGAAACACGGGGGGAGAGGGGGAAGCCUUGAGAUUGUGAAUCAUGGCUGGAAAUAAAAGAUGGAGUCUUGGUGGGGCAGGGGAUGAAGAAAGGGGGAUUCCAGUAGAAAAGUCCCCAAAGCUCCCCCUUUCCGACCUCCCUCCCUUCCCGCCCCGCAGAGAAGCCCCGGAGCCUUAGCCUUAUCCUCAGUCCCCCCGUUGGGGAGGAGGGCUCUGUCGCAGAGCUGCAGUGCAAGGUGUCAGGGAUCCCCCGGCCCAACAUUACCUGGGAGCAUCAGGGCUUGGUCCGGAGAUCAGGGUCGGGCGACCGUGCACGGUGAGACGCUGAUUAUCCGAGAACCGGAGCCGUCGGAUGCCGGGGUUUACCCUUGCGAGGCGUCCAUAGCCGAGCGCACGGAGAGCGCAGGGGAGAACAUGAUGCUGAGUGACUUUCCGUCCCCGACUGGAGGGACCCAAGGGGAACGCGGUGCGGACGCGCCGGGGACGGCUAACCACCCUGACCAUGUGGGUGCACUGGGAGCCGCUCCCGGAGCUCAACUUCUCUUGGAGUGGGAGCAGCCUCCAGGAAAUUCGCCAGGGGGCACCACACACACACGCAUCUUCCAGAAUCACCCUCCACAGUGCUGGGUCUUGGGGCCAUUUCAGGGCUUGCUUUGGCCCUUCUACUCAUCCUGGCCUUGGGAGUAGACGCCCUGUGCUGCUAUUCUCGACGUGUGGGACUAUUUGCCCGGGCUUUCCAUUGCUUUAAGAGAGCAGGACGAGAAUGGUGAGCCGGGAUGAGAGGGGGGAGAAGCAGGAAAAGGGUGGGGGAGGAGGGCGGGAGGAGGACCGCCUCUGGUCCCAGCCGGAGGCACCCGGACUGACCCCAGUCCUUUCUCUCCUCCGCGCAUGGCAAGGAUUCUUCCCCAGAGAAGCAUUCCCCCUAGAGUCUCUGGGCUUGGAGCCUGAAUACUGUGGUCUGGUGAUGGUUGGGAAAUUGGGGGGAGAGGUGGUAGGGGGAUUGUUCCAACUCCGAAUAAAGUUUAUUUUAU
rnacentral:lncRNA from 1 species